UGCGAGAUGGCCGAGCGGUCUGAGGCGCUACGCCAGGGAGUUCCUCAAUAACAUCAUCAUCUCUUAGGAUCUUGGUUUCGUAGUCUGAAAGGGCGUGGGUUCAAAUCCCACUCUCGUCA